GAUGAACGCUGGCGGCGUGCCUAAUACAUGCAAGUCGAGCGAACGGACGAGAAGCUUGCUUCUCUGAUGUUAGCGGCGGACGGGUGAGUAACACGUGGAUAACCUACCUAUAAGACUGGGAUAACUUCGGGAAACCGGAGCUAAUACCGGAUGAUAUUUUGAACCGCAUGGUUCAAAAGUGAAAGACGGUCUUGCUGUCACUUAUAGAUGGAUCCGCGCUGCAUUAGCUAGUUGGUAAGGUAACGGCUUACCAAGGCAACGAUGCAUAGCCGACCGAGAGGGUGAUCGGCCACACUGGAACUGAGACACGGUCCAGACUCCUACGGGAGGCAGCAGUAGGGAAUCUUCCGCAAUGGGCGAAAGCCUGACGGAGCAACGCCGCGUGAGUGAUGAAGGUCUUCGGAUCGUAAAACUCUGUUAUUAGGGAAGAACAUAUGUGUAAGUAACUGUGCACAUCUUGACGGUACCUAAUCAGAAAGCCACGGCUAACUACGUG
rnacentral:rRNA from 1 species